UGGUGGAGUGAUUUGUCUGGUUAAUUCCGUUAACGAACGAGACCUUAGCCUACUAAAUAGUCGCGACAAUGCCAUUGUCUGUGGCUUCUUAGAGGGACUUUGCAAGCAACUGCAAGGAAGUUUGAGGCAAUAACA
rnacentral:rRNA from 1 species